rnacentral:rRNA from 1 species
ACGCUCGACACCUACGGAGGCAGCAGUGGGGAAUAUUGCACAAUGGAGGAAACUCUGAUGCAGCGACGCCGCGUGGAGGAAGAAGGUCUUCGGAUUGUAAACUCCUGUUGUUGAGGACGAUAAUGACGGUACUCAACAAGGAAGUGACGGCUAACUACGUGCCAGUAGCCGCGGUAAUCUGAGCGGGCUGGCAAGGC